rnacentral:rRNA from 1 species
UACAGAGGUCCCGAGCGUUGUUCGGAUUCAUUGGGCGUAAAGGGUGCGUAGGCGGCGCGGUGAGUCGGGUGUGAAAUCUCGGAGCUUAACUCCGAAACUGCAUUCGAUACUGCCGUGCUUGAGGACUGGAGAGGAGACUGGAAUUCAUGGUGUAGCAGUGAAAUGCGUAGAGAUCAUGAGGAAGACCAGUGGCGAAGGCGGGUCUCUGGACAGUUCCUGACACUGAGACACGAAGGCCAGGGGAGCAAACGGG